rnacentral:rRNA from 1 species
GUUGUAUAGUCAAGUAAUUAAGUGCAUGUGGUGGAUGCCUUGGCAGUCAGAGGCGAUGAAAGACGUGAUAGCCUGCGAAAAGCUCCGGGGAGGCGGCAAAUAUCCUUUGAUCCGGAGAUGUCUGAAUGGGGGAACCCACCUACUUUAAGGUAGGUAUUGCAACAUGAAUACAUAGUGUUGCAAGGCGAACGAGGGGAAGUGAAACAUCUCAGUACCCUUAGGAAAAGAAAUCAAUUGAGAUUCCCUCAGUAGCGGCGAGCGAACGGGGAUCAGCCCAUUAAGUUAUGUGUGUUUUAGUGGAACGCUCUGGGAAGUGCGAACGUAGAGGGUGAUAUUCCCGUACACGAAAGGGCACACAUAAUGAUGACGAGUAGGGCGAGGCACGUGAAACCUUGUCUGAAUAUGGGGGGACCAUCCUCCAAGGCUAAAUACUCCUGACUGACCGAUAGUGAACCAGUACCGUGAGGGAAAGGCGAAAAGAACCCCUGUGAGGGGAGUGAAAUAGAUCCUGAAACCGCAUGCAUACAAGCAGUGGGAGCACCUUCGUGGUGUGACUGCGUACCUUUUGUAUAAUGGGUCAGCGACUUAUAUUCAGUAGCAAGGUUAACCGUAUAGGGGAGCCGUAGAGAAAUCGAGUCUUAAUAGGGCGUUUAGUUGCUGGGUAUAGACCCGAAACCAGGCGAUCUAUCCAUGAGCAGGUUGAAGGUUGGGUAACACUAACUGGAGGACCGAACCCACUGUCGUUGAAAAGCCAGGGGAUGACUUGUGGAUAGGGGUGAAAGGCUAAUCAAGCCUGGUGAUAGCUGGUUCUCCCCGAAAGCUAUUUAGGUAGCGCCUCGGACGAAUACCAUAGGGGGUAGAGCACUGUUUCGGCUAGGGGGUCAUCCCGACUUACCAAACCGAUGCAAACUCCGAAUACCUAUGAGUACUAUCCGGGAGACAGACUGCGGGUGCUAACGUCCGUAGUCAAGAGGAAAACAAUCCAGACCGCCAGCUAAGGCCCCAAAAUCAUAGUUAAGUGGGAANNNNNNNNNNNNNNNNNNNNNNNNNNNNNNNNNNNNNNNNNNUGACAUUAGUCAAGUGGUAGGGGAGCGUUCUGUAAGCCGAUGAAGGUGUAUUGAGAAGUAUGCUGGAGGUAUCAGAAGUGCGAAUGCUGACGUGAGUAACGACAAAACGGGUGAAAAACCCGUUCGCCGAAAGACCAAGGGUUCCAGUCCAACGUUAANUCGGGGCUGGGUGAGUCGACCCCUAAGGCGAGGCCGAAAGGCGUAGUCGAUGGGAAAAUGGUUAAUAUUCCAUUACUUCUGUGUAAUGCGAUGAGAGGACGGAGAAGGCUAAAUCAGCCUGGCGUUGGUUGUCCAGGUGAAAGGAUGUAGGCAUGUAUCUUAGGCAAAUCCGGGGUACUCUAUGCUGAGAUCUGAUAGCAAGCUGUACUUGUACAGCGAAGUGGUUGAUGCCAUGCUUCCAGGAAAAGUCUCUAAGCUUCAGUUACACAGGAAUCGUACCCGAAACCGACACAGGUGGUCAGGUCGAGUAGACCAAGGCGCUUGAGAGAACUCUGCUGAAGGAACUAGGCAAAAUGGUACCGUAACUUCGGGAGAAGGUACGCUGUUGUUGGUGAUGGAACUCGCUUCCUGAGCUGACGACAGCCGCAGAAACCAGGCCGCUGCAACUGUUUAUUAAAAACAUAGCACUCUGCAAACACGAAAGUGGACGUAUAGGGUGUGAUGCCUGCCCGGUGCUGGAAGGUUAAUUGAUGGGGUUAGCGUAAGCGAAGCUCUUGAUCGAAGCCCCAGUAAACGGCGGCCGUAACUAUAACGGUCCUAAGGUAGCGAAAUUCCUUGUCGGGUAAGUUCCGACCUGCACGAAUGGCAUAAUGAUGGCGGCGCUGUCUCCAGCAGAGGCUCAGUGAAAUCGAAAUCGCUGUGAAGAUGCAGUGUACCCGCGGCUAGACGGAAAGACCCCGUGAACCUUUACUGCAGCUUGACACUGAACUUUGACCUUACUUGUGUAGGAUAGGUGGGAGGCUUUGAAGCUGGAACGCUAGUUCCAGUGGAGCCGUCCUUGAAAUACCACCCUGGUAAUGUUGAGGUUCUAACUCUGUCCCGUGAUCCGGGACGAGGACCGUGUCUGGUGGGUAGUUUGACUGGGGCGGUCUCCUCCUAAAGAGUAACGGAGGAGUACGAAGGUGCGCUCAGCGUGGUCGGAAAUCACGCGUAGAGUAUAAAGGCAAAAGCGCGCUUAACUGCGAGACCCACAAGUCGAGCAGGUACGAAAGUAGGUCUUAGUGAUCCGGUGGUUCUGUAUGGAAGGGCCAUCGCUCAACGGAUAAAAGGUACUCUGGGGAUAACAGGCUGAUACCGCCCAAGAGUUCAUAUCGACGGCGGUGUUUGGCACCUCGAUGUCGGCUCAUCUCAUCCUGGGGCUGAAGCAGGUCCCAAGGGUAUGGCUGUUCGCCAUUUAAAGAGGUACGCGAGCUGGGUUUAGAACGUCGUGAGACAGUUCGGUCCCUAUCUACCGUGGGCGCUGGAAAUUUGAGAGGAUCUGCUCCUAGUACGAGAGGACCAGAGUGGACGAACCUCUGGUGUACCGGUUGUGACGCCAGUCGCAUCGCCGGGUAGCUAUGUUCGGAAGGGAUAACCGCUGAAAGCAUCUAAGCGGGAAGCCUACCUCAAGAUAAGAUUUCCCUAGGACUUUAUGUCCUCUAAAGAGCCGUUCGAGACUAGGACGUUGAUAGGUUGGAUGUGGAAGCAUAGUGAUAUGUGAAGCUGACCAAUACUAAUUGCUCGUGAGGCUUGACUAUACAACACCCAAGCAGUUG